CUAUCUAGGGAGGCCAAGCAUCCUCGCCCACUAGGCCCAGCGAUCAGACUUCAAGACCAUGUGCACAAAAUGAGCUCCCAGGAUGGAUGAGCACGCAUCUGCUAGGCUCUGGACAGGUCACAGCAGAGCCCUUCUCCCUGCUCACCGCCCAGCACACUCUCAUCUCACCGAAAAUCAAAGAGCAGUAAAGCUGCAGGACUUGUCUCAGGCGGCAUGUUUCAGAAGGGAGCGGGGGAAGACACCAAAUGAACUCUUCUCCAUCAUGCCCUUCUGCCAUGAUAUCUACCUGAACACAGAUCUAAAAGCAAUGGAGCCAGCUGACCAUGGAUGGGAACCACUGAAAUCAUGAGCCAAAAUAAACCUUUCUUCCUCAA
rnacentral:lncRNA from 1 species